CAGAUCAGGAGGAAGUGAAUGUCGUUUUGAAUCUCUCCAGAAAGGUUUUACGACUGAAACAUUCAAAGAACAGAGAUAAUAUGCAUUUGACAGUGAUCUUAGAAACAUCUUAAAUAUCUUUUGACAUCUUCAGUUCAUGUUUCAGAAAAACCUUCGUUUCUCCAAUUAUAUCUGAUAAUGUGGUACAUUUGGUAAAUUACAGAGAAAACUAUGUGUUUUGCAAAACGCUUAUGUAUAAGAAUGAUAUGGCACCUGAUUUAGGCAUUUUUGUAAUAAAAUAAAAUGUGACCCCAACAUGUCGUAAUAAAAGAGCCGCUGAAAUAGACCCGAUGAUCUUGUCCCUGAGAAAUGCCCGAUUCAUCUUUUUCCUGAAGCAUCAGCAGAAGUGUGGUUUUCUUUUGUAAAAUUAACUCCAUGUUAAGAGUCUUUUCCCUUUAAAUUUCUUCCUGACAAUUAGUAAUUUGGGAGAUCAACCAGAGCCAUAAAAAUCUCUAUGCAUUUAGAUGUAACCAUCGCUUUUAUUCCUUUUGACUCUGAUGCCUGGAGUAAUGGUCAGGCCAAAAACAAUUAAGCAGAAUGUAGGUCAGUUCACCAGGUGAUAAAUUUACCCAUCUUUUGGAUCCUCACUGAAGUUUCUGAGGCUAACGCGAUGGCAGGUACUAUUCUGAGCAGAGAUGAAAGAAAAGGAUCUUCAAAGAACGUGACUGCACAAUGCCUGGCGCUCAGCUUCAAGAGAAGCCUGCUGUCCCAGAAGCAGCUGGGAAACUCAGAGGCUCCAUCUGCCAACGUGGCUCUUUUUAAAAGCAGGAGGAGAGAAUGCGUAGUGGAAAAGACUGACUGAUUGUUGAGUUGGAUUGUUUUGUGGAGAGCACUGGCCUGGGAGUCAAGUGCUGGAUUCUAGACCCUGCCAGGCCCCUAAGCUGCUGUGUGUAUGUGGCCAGCAUUUUGCCUCUAUGGGGCUCAGUUUCCCUCAUCUACGAGGGUGUUAUUGAUCUUUCAGGUGUACUUCAUAGGUAUCCUGAUGGUCUAAGAAUCUGCAAUGCUUUCUAUUAGACGUUUAUGUUUCUCAGUAGGAUUGCAGGCAGAAUAUUGGCCUCCCAAAUAUGUUCCCCUCCUAAUACCUGGAACCUGUGAAUAUGUUUCCUUACAUGGUGGAAGGACUUUGCAGAUAUAAUUAGGGAUCUUGAGAUGGAGAGAUCACUCUGAAUUAUCCUGGGGGGACCAAUGUAAUUACAGGAGUCCUUAUAAGAGGGAAGCAAGAGUGUCAGGGUCAGAGAGAGAAGAGAUCUGAAGACACUGCCGCUGGCUUUGGAGAUAAAAAGCCAAUACGUGCAGCUGGCCUCUGGAAGCUGGAAAAGAUGGAAAAUGGAGUUUUAGAGAUGAAAAGAAACCUAGAGGGAAAGGCACGUGGGACCUGUGGCUGAAAAGAGGCUCUAGGAAUUCUGUGGCUGCCAGAGGGACGUUCCACCGGUGAGAGAAGACUGCUUCAGGUAAACGUGCGUGCAACUCCAGUGAACACACUGCACAUACUCCCCUCUCAAGUGCUGAGAGGCCACUGUGCACGUGGACAGCCCACCCCAGGGGAAGAAUCAGAAGAGGACACGAGACCCCAGAAGCAUGCCAGCAUGGAAAACUCAAGUCAGAAAGCUAUGGAGGAGCUCAUGUGUCUAGGAGCUGAAGACUGGACAGCAGCCAAUAAGGAACUGAAUUCUGUCAGCAACUAUCUGAGUGAGCUUUCAAGAAGCUCCAUUGGCACUGGGUGAAUCUUGAGGUGACUGCAGCCCCAUGAGAGCCACUGAGCCAGAACCACCCAGAGGAGCUGCUCCUAGAUUGCUCAGGAUGAAAAAAACCAAACCAAAACAAAGCAAAGCAGAACACAAACACAGCUUCUGGGAGUCAAGGAAAGAAGACAGCAAGGAUUAAAUGCACAUCACGUUGAGUGGAGGACCUGUCAGCUCAUGCCUGGAUGACUGUGGUGGUCCCUAUUCUUCUAUUGCCAUGAAGACAACUGCAACCACUUUUCCCUACUUUGAUGUCACCCCCUGGUGAGCUGCCAUACCGUGCAUGAGUUGUUCUGUCCAAGCUUUCGUGCCUGUGGAGCGCUGGUGACUCACAGAAUAAGGUACUCAGUGCCUGGCUUCUCUGGGUAACUUUAAGCUCCUGCGGGAUGUUGACUGUGCUCCAAUUUAUUUUUUAUUUGAGUUCUUCCUAAAUACUCAUUGAAAGAAUGACAUUGUGGAAAAGCUGAGUUGGAUUUUCUCUGGAGAUUUAACUAAUCCUUUACAAUGAUUAUUAGUGAUCAAGAUGCUUGAUUCUAUUGCUUGAGUGUAGAGAUGAUUGGCCAUGACCACAGGGCCCUUAGCUGAGUAAAGUUCUCCUCAUCCCCACAAAACAGAAGCCCUUGGCCAGGCUGAGUGCUUUGGUCCUGCAGGAUGAGUGGAUCUCACAGUGCAGCCUUGAGAGAGAGAUUCCAAGCUGUACUGGUCACGGCUCCCUUCCUUGCUAAGGUAGAGAACACUGUGCAUAUGUGCAGGUUUUACUCUUGGCUGGUAGGGCCUGGAAUUGUUAGCAAGUCCCAUGUCACACACAUGGAAUGCAACAUGUGCUUCCCCUCCAGCUGUGAGAUAAUGCAAAUAUCUUCAUAUUCCACUCAAGCUGUCAGACCCUGUAACUUCGAGAGGCUAGACCCAGACGGUGAGCUAAAAGUUCAUCCUUGCUCUUUUCUGCUAGAAAGCCCAGGGUAAGGUAUCACUUGCAUGUUCGAAAAGACAGAGAGGAGAAUUCAUGCAUGUAAAAUGCAUCAUAUAGUGCAGGCACAUAAUAGAUGCUCCAUAGAGGUCAUCUCACAUAGCCUUUGCAAUAACCUUGCCAAGUAAAUAUUCUCAUCGUCAUUUUAGGGGCAAAAAAGUCAAUACUCAGAGAGUUUAAAUAACUGUCCAUGUCAGUCAUGGUCCUGGCAGGAAAACCAAGACCCACUCCAAAGGGUUUAACAGAAGAAAGUUUAAUGAAGGGCACACUCUACAGAGGUGUAGGCAGGCUUACAGGCACUGUCUAAGGACAUAGAGACACGGGAUGAACUCCUGGGAGCUCUGAGUAGCCCUAGGCCUGAAGAGCCAAAGGCGGGAAUGUUUGCAGAGCCUGGGAGUGCAGGUGCUGUGGAAGAGGGAUGUAGCCUCAUCCAUUGGCCAAUGGGAAGGCCCAGGACAAGGAGUGCAGGUGUUCCUGUCUGUCUCUGGGGUUCAGCUUCUCAGGCAAGGCAGCAGGGAGGAUGGAUUUGGAGGUAGGUGGUGAUCUGAGAAUAACAAGAGCAUCUUCUAGUGUCACCAUCUAGUGGUACUGGGUGCAGGGGGUGCGUUUGUAGACAGCUAUGACUCUGAAGUCUUGCAGUCUUUGCUAAGACGAGAAGAGGAGAAAAUCCAUUCUCUUCUUCCCUGUAUCUCAACUUUUCCUUCUGUUUUUCCCUCCUUUUCUCCCUUCUUUCCUCACUCUUGCCCUUCACCCUCCGCCCAUGUUUCCUUCUUUCUUUUCCUCCCUUCCUCCCUCCCUCCCUUCUUUCCUUUCUCUCUUCCACCCUUACUCUGUCACAAAAUGUAAGGUGCUGGAACACAAAUAAAUAUGACCUGACUCCCUCCCUCGAGAUACUUACGGCAGCAUCAUGUUAGGAUGGAGCUUGUUCCAUUAAGGGCACUCUUGUUUAAAGCUCUGAGCACAAUGUUUUUUAAAAUUUCAUUGUUAAAAAGGUUCCAUAUGUGAAGUCCUUGGUGAUCUCCAAGGCAAGAGUACAACCUAAGUCUACCUCCUCUUUCUCUAGAGCCUUCGAGGGCUCGCACAUCAGAAGCUGCCUUGCUUCAGCUGACCAAGCCCCAAGCUUUUGCUGCUGCAUCCAUCCAUUUACUUUUCAAUGUGUUUUUCACUCUGCUUUGUAACCCGGAGGACUUAGGUCUUUAUGUUGACAUAUUUUGGGAGCACUUACUCCUGAGAGUUUUCUUGGGAAAAUGGGGUGCUUGGGACAAAGCCUUAUCACCAGCUCCCUGCUGUCUUGGCCAGGGAGACCCUUGGCAGAUAAGAGCAGGGUCAGAGUCAGAAUUCCCCCUUGGCCUUCCUGCUUCCUUGUGUUCUGAGCCAGGGUAAAACACUUCUUUCUUUUUCUGCACCUUCAUUUAUAAAAGAGACAUAAUGGCCCCUUUUCCUUGGAACAGGAGUGAUGGAGGCUUCUGUGCAUUUCCAAAGUACUUGGAACUCUCCCCUGGCUGCCCGGCUCCUCACUUGGUACGUGGAGAGUCAGGUCAGGCUAUUGUGCUGUUGAUUGUGCUCCUUGUUCACAGAGCACAUCCACUUCAGGCCGCUGCGCACACUCACCAUUCUCCUCGGUAUUAUUGACUUAAGUACUCUUCAAGGAGAAUUUCUCCAAGGCUCCCGUGUUGACACCCUGCUAGCGUUUUGAGAGCCAGACUUGCUAGCUGUUUGUUGCUUUGGAUGAAAGCCUGCAAUCGCUCUAUUAAACAUUCCCCAUUCAAUGGGGAAGAAGAAGGAGAAGCCUAUCUGCUGCAGAAGGAAUUGGAUUUUUCUACAGUGCAGGUUGCUAUGGGAAGCAUUCCAGUGCUGGGUCAAGCUUGCCAGGCAACUCAGGGCAGGGUACUGGGUUGUAGUGACUCAAUGUCUCUCCCUCUCUCUGGUCUGCCCAGCAAAAGCAUUUGGCCUAAGGACUUACUUACCUUCUCUAACUCUAUGCCACUGUUUCCCACAUCAGUUCUUGCCUCUUGCCUUGUUGCCAGAGAAACCUGUGGAACGAAGGAAGCUUGGAGAUCUGGAGAUCGAGAGAGCAUCUCACAUGCUUCAUGGGGAGGAAGGACUGAUAUUGGAGUGAAUGGAAUCUAGACUUCUGUGUGUAUCAGGGUAAAGCAGCAAUGCUUUUUUCUGGCAGACCAAGGGCAUCCUUGACAGGCAGCCCAGGGAGAUAGAACAGGCACCUGUCAAAGAAUUAGUAAACAUGGAUUCAUUAAUCUGGACUUUUGUCCAGAGACAGUUUUGUGACUUUGGACAAAUCACUAAACAUUUCCAGAGCCCAGUGUCUUCAGUUAUAAAAAUGAGAGAUGAAUAUCAAUGUCACAGCCCUCCUUACCUAGAAGGCAGGAAGACUCCAGAAGCUGAACAACUCUGUAGUAGGCCCAGCACUUUCCCUAAGAUUUUUCCAAGUAUUUGAAAGGUGAUACGGUGGGGAGCCUUAUUCUCCAGUCAAAGUCCUCUCUCCGGCCAGAAGGCUUUUUCUUUCAUGAAACACAGAUAGGAGUUUCAAUUCUAUAAAUAUAUAUUGAGAAUGCAGUAUACGAAAGUCUCAGAAAUGGCUAUGAAACAAAAUUGCUUCUAAGAGCACAUGGCUGUACAAGGCACGUGCCUCCUGGUUUGUUUUAAUGAUGUUAAAAUUCAUCAUUAAAACAAAGAAUAUACUAUCUUGGACAUUUGUGAGUGUAGUUUAAGUUCUGUAGUGGUACAUAGAUUCGCAUUGUUGUGUUAGCCAAUCUCCAGAACUCUUUUCAUCUUGUAAAAUGGAAACUCUGUACCCAUGAAACAACUGCCCUUUCCCCCUCCCUCAGCCCCUGUUCUGCUUCCUGUCUCUCUGAGUGUGGCAACUCUAGGGACUUCAUGCAGUGAUACCACACAGCAUGGUUGUCCCGUAUUAUCCACGGUUUUGCUUUCUGCAGGUUCACUUACCCUCAGUCAACUGAGGUACAAACAUAUUAAAUGAAAAAUUCCAGAAAUAAACAAUUCAGUCCCUGUGCAAUGGCUCAUACUGUAAUCCCAACACUUUGGAAGGCUGAGGUGGGCAGAUUGCUUGAGGCCAGGAGUUUAAGACCAGCCUGGGUAAUAUAGGGAGACCCCACCCUGUCUGUAUUAAAAAAAAAAUUUUUUUUCUAAGUUUUAAACUGCACACCCUUCUGAAUAGUGUGAGGAAAUCUAGUACCAUCCUAUUCUGUCUGGCUUGAGACAUGAAUCCUCCCUGUGUCCAGUAUCUUCACACUGUACACUUACAUAUGUAUAGGAACAAAACAGUAUAUAUAGUGAUAUGGCCUGGCUCUGUGUCCCCACCCAAAUCUCAUCUUGGAUUGUUAUCUGAAUUAUAUUCCCCACAGGUUGGGGGAGGGACCUUGUGGGACAUAAUUAGGUAAUGGGGCAGUCCCCUUAAGCUGUUCUCUUGAUAGUGAAUGAGUUCUCAUGAGAUCUGAUGGUUUUAUAAGGGGCUUUUCCCCUCUUUGCUCUGUACUUUUUCUAACUGCCAUCAUGUGAAGAAGGACGUGUUUGCUUCUGCUUCCACCAUGACUAUAAGUUUCCUGAGGGCUCCCCAGCCAUGCUGAACUGUGAGUCAAUUAAACCUCUUUCCUUUAUAAAUUACUCAGUCUUGGGUAUGUCUUUAUUAGCAGGGUGAGAGUGGACUAACACAUAUGGAGUUAGUACUAUCUACUGUUUCAGGUAUCCACCGGAGGUCUUGGAAUGUAACCAGGAGGAUAAGGGGGAUCACUGUAUUUGUCUUUCUGGGACUGGCCUAUUUUACUGAGCAUAAUGUACUUCCAAUUCAUCCAUGUCAUAGCCUAUUUCAGGACUUCCCCUUUACAAUGGUGCAAUCCUAUUUAUUAUGUUGUAGCAUGUUUCCCAUUCACAAAGGCAUUCCUACUUUUCUUUCUUCCACACUCCUUUUCUCUGCAUUGCAGUCGGGAGUGGUUAUUGCCCCUGGUCUACAGCUAAGGAAACAAGCCUCAAGGCUGCAAGAUCACAUAGAGAGCCUGGGACCAGAACAUGGCCUCGGGUCACUGGGUCCAGCACACUUUCCCUGAAGGUCAACUGCACGUACAAAGCCCUCGCUGAACUUGGUGGUAGUUCACAGGGCAUAGGCAAAGCAAAGACGUCCAGGGGUCGGAAGACUCCACCCGGGCAGAGAGAACAGAUCCAGCAGCAAGUCAGUGACAGGACAGAAGUGGAGGGAAGGCCAGGUGGCAGACCCCAGCUCUGGUCUCAGUCCAGGUAGUUGGCCCUGCUCACCCUGGCCUCUCACUGUCUCCAGAUAUAGGAAAUAGGAUUUCCAGGCUAGUCUCAGGAGUUGGGUGAGGGCAAAGUGCUGCAGGGCUGACCAGCCCUAACAAGGUGAAUCCUCCAGAUUGUUCCUCAGUGAUUAGAGCAGCCAUCCAGGAGGGACGGGUAAUGAAGUAGGGAUCUGAAAUAUGCAGUGGUGGCUGCGGGCAAGCUGCCUGUGAUUGCUGCCAGUGGGAGCCAGGAGCUUUAAUGAACUGAGUGAACUCCCUUCCCUUGGAAGAUUCAUACUUUGGGAGUCUUGCUGGAGUGGUAGGGCCUACCUCUGAAGCUGGCAUCUUACCUCUCCUAGCAUUUCUGGCUAACCCACCAGUCAGUUCUGAAGAGUAGACCUUGUGCUUGGAAGAGCUCACCACCCUUCCUGAGCUCUAGCUGCUUUUUGGUUGCCCCUGGCAGUGGUAAUGCUCCUACACCUAAAACAGCUAAAUAAACCACACCACAGACAUUUAAGUCACAUUCUCUGGGACCUGGGCUUGGUCAGAGCAGGAAAUAAGCAGUGGUUUGCUGCCUUUGAUUCCCACUGGGAAACUGCCUCCUACACUACUCAACUCUAUCCUCUCAUUUGGGGACUGUUCUGGGACAUUUGCUAUUUGUCAUGGCUGGGGGCUGGGUUAUCCCAGUGAAUCAUAUAUUCUGGUUAAAGGUGAGCAAUUAGCUAUUCACAGAGCACAACUUUUCUUUUUCUUUUUUUUUGUUUGCCAAUCAGUUUGAGCUUAUGAGGUUGCUCAGGUUAGCCUUGAACUGAUGACCUCGCUUUCGCGAGUGCCAUGACCUCCGGCGGGAGCCACUUUGGACCCCCACAACUUUUCAAAAGACCUAGAAUGCUAGCAAACAUGCUGAACUGUAAGUUACAAGUAACAGAACCUAAUGUAACUUUUAAAACACUGAAGCCACUUUUAUUUCUUCAGGAGCAUCAAUAUGAACCUAAGCGCCCAAGAAUUGAGAAAACAUGCAAAUGCUAGUUAAUAGAAUGCUGGAUAAACAGCUUCUAAUGAAUUUCCCAUGUCUUGAUUCUGUCAUUUUUUUUUUUUUUGAAAAGGCACUGAGUAUGUUUGAAGAUGAUUAAGAUUGUGUAAACUAAUAAAGAAGGGUUGACUUUGGGGGCAACUUCAACCAAAUCUGCAUUCGACACGGAAUUCCCCUCUUUAAACUUUUCUGACGUUUUCCCCACUGUCUUUGCUUUGGUUUCGGGGGCUCACUACUCCAUUCUAUUUAGUAGUUUACUUUUGGAAAAUGUUUCUUUAUUCUCACCUUGGAAACCACAGGGAAUAAGUCCCAUCUUCGUGUUUUUAUAGAAUCAGAACAUUCUCAUAUCUGUGUUUCCAGUUUCCUUUUAGCUGAAACUGUCAGUUUCUGCAAACUUCCUCAAGUAUUUGCAGACCCCGUUUUGAAUGUUCCCUUGUUUGUGGGUGUUCCAAGGAGAAUUAUGAAGGCACACACGGUAAAUCUGAGACUGAAUGCCAUGAGACUAUCACCUCCAUCCUUCUGGAUUAUAUGCUUCUGUGAUAGUGCCUGUGAGCUCUUUCUGGGGCCAUAUUCCCUGAGUUCAAAUCCUCGCUCUGCUACUUUCUAUCUCUCAACCUUGAGCAAGCAACUAAACUCUUUAAUGCUCAGUUUCCUCAUCUAUGAAAGAGGUUAAUUAUAGUAUCAACCUCAUAGCCUCACAGGGUUAUGGCAAUUGAUGUCAUAUGUGUAAGUGCUUAGUGCAGACUUGGAACUUGGUAAAAACUCAAUCAGUGUAGCUGCUUGUAGAACAGCUGGCAUGAAAUCAGAUAAUGAAGGCUGACUGGCCAGGUUCACAUCCCAGAAUAGGUUUAAAAUUUGACCCACCAUCUAUGAGCUGAAUGGCCUUUUGUAAGUGGCUUAAAUGCUUUGUGCCCCAAUUUUCUUAUCUGUAAGAUGGAGAUAUAGGGUUUGUAUGAAGAUUCAAUGGAGCUGUUUUAUGUAAGAUACCUGAAACAGAGCCUGAAAAGUAAAAAGGGCAAAUGAGAACUGUUAUUAUUAUUAUUAUUAUUAUUAUAGCUUGGAAAUGCAUUUUAUUUUUUAAAGAAGUCACAUCCAAAAGUUGACUCAUAUUGGAGCUAUGGUCACCAACGUACUGGUUCCCAUGACCCCUCUUCAUUGUGCAUGGAGAAUUCUCAUCAUUUAUUGUGUGCAUGUGAGUGUGUGUUUGUGUGUGUGUGUGUGUGUGUGUGUGUGUGGCUCAAACUAUCCUCUUAGCAGAAUGUCUUGAACAUGUAAGUGCCUUUAGAAUAUUGGUCUUUGGAAUCACAUCUAUCUUUCCUUUGUGCUAUUUGAAAUCUGCUUUCCUUGAUUCUGGAUUAUUUGAUUGCAUACUUUUCUAGACUGUGCUUGAGAGCCACUGCUUCUGAAACUGCUUGGAUCCUUCCUGGUAGAACCAAACCCCUAUGACAUUGCACCCACCACUGUACCAUGUGUUUACAUAGCUUCACCCCUUGUUAGACUGUGCUAAUUGAUUUUUCUGUAUUUAUUAUGUCCAGGCCUGUUUUGGAAUAAAUGCUGUGCUUAACCUAGCCCAGAAUCCCCACCUGCAACAAAAGUGAUAAUGUUAGAGAAAUCUGUCUCAACUGAAACGUAUUUCCAAAAUGGUUAUUAUCAUUACUGCUAAAAUAGCAAAGUUACUUUUCCAAGUAACUUUCCAUUUUCUUUUCUGUAUCCCAGCUGGCAUUUCUUUCAAGAAAUUUCAGAAUUAAGUCAGCAAGAGAAAAGAGAGAUAGCUAUCUUUAUUUUUUCUAUCUUAUUACAGGUUAAGAGAUUCAAUUAUUCCUUAAAAUAAAAUACAAAUUUAUCCUUUGUUUUCAGCAAAGGGAGACUUACAUCAGAUGUGUAGAUUAAAUGAUUUCCAUUGCUCCUUUAUAUUGCAUUUAGGCCAGUUUUGUCACUGAGGGAAAGUAUUGAACUAGUUCUUCCUGUUGCCAUACCUGGCUCUAAUUUCCAACUGCAGCUUCUUCUUUAAAAUCAGGUUAAAAUAAUCAGAAGAAUUAUUUUAACCUAAUUUUUUUUUACCUGAAAUUGAAAUAUUAAGCAAAGACACCACAAACAAAGUCAAAAGCAAACAACUUGGAAGAAUAUCUACAGCAUAUAUUAUGGACAAAAAUGUUAGUAUCAAGUUAAUAAGACAAAGACAAAUACACCAGUGUAGAAAUGGGCGAAGAAUAUGAACAGGCAAUUCACAGAAGAAAUGCAUAUAUUCAGUCCACACUCAAAAGCUGCUCUAUUUUGUUAGUAAUCAAAGAAGUAGAGAUGUAAAAUGUAAUGAGUUUUUUUUAACCUAUCAACUGACAAGACUAAAAUGAAUAAAAAAGGCUAGUAUUAGUGUGGAGUUAGAAAACAGAAUUCUCUAGAAGUAGUUGAAGGGAACAUAAGCCUCAUGUAGCAUUUUACCAAUGUUCAGUGAGAGCUUUCAAAUGUUAGUACUUAAUACAAUUUUACUUUAGAAAUACAUUUGUAAGAAAAAAACCUGACAAUUGUGCAGAGUUAUAUGUAAAAGGCCUGACACAGGCCUUUAGUUUUGCAGGGUUUUCUCACUGGAUAUAAGAUUCAGGCCUAAAGUAACAAAGUUUUCAUGGGUGACUUGGCCAUGAAAAUAAUUUCAAAGGAAUGCUUGUCCUAGAAAUUUUGAGAGUUUGGAGUGUCAUACAAAUGUUUCCAAAUUGACUGAAAGAAAAGCCAAGUGUGAAGGUAUAUUCUGUUGUAGCCUUCAACAAAAGUUGCUCUCUGGAUACUUGGUAUAUUUAGUUGACCUAGAAAGUUGAAAGUAAAGAAAACAAGGAGAAGAAGAAGUAGUAUAAAGUAUAAAGCCACAGAGAAAGAGAAAAAAAAAACAACUUCUUUAUCAGAAUUAGGCUUGGCUUCAAGCAUUUAAAUUGUCAUGUCUAACAAUAUUGUGAAUAUCUCCUUUUGGGACUGAAUUAAAAAUUUUAAGGGACUAAUAUAAGAAGGUUUGGUAAUCUUUGGGAAUGAAGUCGUUAUUCUUUACGGCCAAAUCUAGGCUGGCAGGGAUGUGACUUUCUCUCCAGACUGUCCACUGCUGUAUGUGGUUUGGUCAGGUUGACUCACAGGUAACACAGUACUUGGCUGUGACACACAGUACUCCCCAUGACACACCUCAGAGCGUCAAUUGAUUUCUAUAUUUUUUGGCUCAUGGCCAAGAAAGUGGGGCACCCAUUCCACACUUCUGCAUGUUUUCCUUCCAAUUGUGAAUUGAUUCUGAUAAACAAGCCCUAUUUCAAGGCUUCUAGCAACAUUAGCCUCAAGAAAUGUGGUAGGUGAAAAGAACUGUGGUGUAACUAUUUCUAAUAGUCAAAUAUGUAAUCAUAAAAUAAUUUGGCUCAAAAUUAAGAACAUUCCCAUAAUGAAAAAUAUUUGAAUUAAAACAGAAGCGAAGAUAUUUCAGUCACGCCAUGUAGAUCCAGCCUUGUGCUGUGCCAAAAUCAGCAAAGUUGCCCAGAAGACCACACCUGUUAGGGCACAUGCAAUGACUGACAGAAAUAUUUGAAACCUCAGUUAAACACAGAUAAGAAUAGGUAAAGAGAUGACAGAAGAGCACCUGACAAAAUUUAACAACCAAUUAAAGAUAAAAACUCUUGGAAGAAUAAGAAUAGAAGAGAACUCAUAAAUCUGAAAAAGUGCAAAGCAAAAAACCUACAGAUAACAUCAUACUUACUGAAGAAUGCUUGAAGAUAUUACAUAUAGGAUAAGAAACAGGACAAAAACAUCUGCUUUAAUCACUUCUAUUCAACAUUAUGCUGGGAGCCUGGCCACGAUAAUAAAGAAAACAGACCAACAAACAAACAGAAUAUCCCCAAAGAAAGAAACAGUGUAAAAAUGUGAAAGGAAGAAAUAAAACUAUCUUUAGUUACAAAUGACAUGAUUGUAUACAUAGAAAAUUUUAAGUGAUCUACUAAACAACUACUAGAAAUAACAAUUUAUCAACUUUAUAGGAUAUAGAUACAAUAAAUGAAAAGCAAUUUGUUUUUGUAUGCUAAUAGCAAAAAAUCUGAAAAAUGGAAUAAAAACAAUUAAUAGCAUCAACACAUAAACUACUUAGGAAUAAACUUAACAAAAUUACAAAACAAUGCUAGGAAAAAUUUUUUAAAGGCUUAAAUUAAGAGAGAUAUAUCAUAUUAAUGGACUUUCUUUCUUGAUUCAAGAUUCAAUAUUGUUCAGAUAUCAGUUCUUCACAGACAUAGCUGGGCAUGGUAGCUCACACCUAUCAUCCCAGCACUUUGGGAGGCCAAGGCAGGAGGACUGCUUGAGACCAGGAGCUCAAGACUAGCCUGGGCAACAUAGUGAGAUCCUGUCUCUGCAAAAAAUUUUAAAGAGUUAGCUGAGCGUGAUGGCAUGUGCCUGUAGUCCCAGCUAAUUGGGAGGCUGAGGUGGGAGGAUUGUUUGAGCCCACUCAAGGCUGCAGUGAGCUAUGAUUGUGCUACAGCACUGCAGCCUGUGGGACUAAGCAAGACCCUGUCUUCCCCCUCAAUACUCCCACAAAAAACCCACAAAUGGAUUCAGUGCAUUCCAAAUCAAAAUCCUAGUUUUUUUAAAUAGAAAUUGAUAAACUGGUUUUAAAAUUCACAUAUAAAUACAAAUGAGCUAGAGUAGCCGAAACAACUUUGAAAAAUAAAGUUGAAAAACUUAGUACUAUCUGACUUCAGAUUUUUUUUGAAACUACAGUAAUUAUGAUAUUGGCAUCGAGAGGGACAAAUAGAUGAUUGGAAUAGAAAAUAAUACAGAAAUAGACCAGAACAUAUAUGGUCAACUGAUGUUUUGCAAAAAUGCCAAGCAAAUUAAGUGAAGAAUGAAGAGUUUUUUUUUCCAACAAAAGGUACUAGAAUAAUUGAAUAUUCAUAUGCAAAAAAAAUUAACUGAUCCAUACUUCACACCACAGACAAACAUGAACCCAAGAUGGAUCAUAGGCCUAAAUGCACAACUUAAAACUAUCAAACUUUUCUGGGAAAACCAUAAAAUGAAAUCUUUGUGACUUUGGUUUGGGAAAAUAUAUUUUUAGUUAUAGCAACAAAAGCCUAAUCCAUAAAAGAAAAAACUGACAAAUUGGGCUUCAUCAAGAUUAAAGAGUUCUGCUCUUGGAAAAACACUGUUCCCCAAGUGACAUACUUAAAGCAAAUGUUUACAAAUCACAUCUGAUAAAAGACUUACCCAGAACAUAUAACAAACUCUCAAAACUGAAAAAUAAAAAAUAAAAAAAAUAAAAAACAAAAGUGUGCAAAAGAUUUGAAAGCAUAUUUACCAAAGAAGAUACAGAAAGGGUGGGCACACACAGGACGAGCCAUCAUUAGCCACUAGAGGAAAGCAAAGUGAAACCGCGAUGAGAUACCACUUCAUGAGAAAGGCUGCAUGCAGUUAAAAACCAACGACGCUGAAUGUGAGCAAAAGUAUGGAGCAACUGGAAUUCUCAUGUAAAAUCACUUUGGAAAACUCUUUUGCAGAGAUUAAGCAUUUAAGUGAAACAUAUUCUUCCCCAGUGAUUCAGCAUUUCACUGCUAGAUACUAACUCAAGAAAAAUGAAGACAUUUAACCGUAAAAAGACUUAUACAAGAACAAUAUGUUAGCUUUACUCAUAAUACAAAUUGGAUACAACUCAAAUGCCCAUCAACAAUAGAAUGCCUGAACAAAUUGUGACAUACUCACAUGUUGGAACACUACUCAGUAGUCAAAAGAAAGAACAACAUCUACUUGUAACCACAUAGAUGAAUUUCAAAAAUAUGCUGAGCCUAAAAACAAGGCACAAGAGAUUCCACAUUGUAUAACUGAAAUUAUACAAAAUUCUAUAACAGGCAAACUAAUCCAUGGUGAUAGAGUAGUGGUUGCCUGUAGAGAGGAACUGACCAGAAAGAAGGAAAAGGGAAAUUCCUGGGGUGAUGGCAGUAUUUUUUAUCUUGACUGGGUGGUGGUUGCAUAAGUGUAUUGUAUAGUUUUGCCCAAACUCAUUGAAUUAUACAUUUAGGAUCUGUACCUUUCACUAUGCAUAAAAUGUAUGUUAAAAAGAAUAGUAAUGGACUCUAAAUACCUCCUUCCUAUGUCUUGCUUACAUUUUUUAUAAUGUAUUUUUGUGGUUGUUACCAGUGGUGGUCUUUUGACUUGAAGAAGAAACUCUUAAGAACAAACACUUAGUUGUGUGAACAAUUGCAUGUCCCAAUAUGGAGAGGAGUCAGUUGUGCACACCAGUCUCCUUUCAUGAUGGACACCUCUCAUUAUGCAUAGAGGGAGCAAAGUUGCUUGACAGUUACACUGCCAUCAAAGCAAAGGACAGAGCCAGUCAAGAGCUGAGGCUCUGGGCUCAAGCACAUGUGGUUUUGAAUCCUGGUUCCGGCAUUCUUCAGCCACUUGACUUUGGGCAAAUGACAGAGCUUCUUGUCGCCUUGGGUCCUCACCUGUAAAUGAGGACCACAAUGCCUGCCUCAUGGAGUAAUUAGGAGGUAAAUGACAAAGUGCUGCAGAUUGUCCACAUGGUGUCUGUUAAUGAGAUGAAUAAAAUGAGGCUUCUCCUUAGUAGAUAGGUAGUACUUUAGAGGAUUUGGGAUUUUGUUUAGAGAUCUGUCUGAAAGUCUCCAGAAAGAUUUACUUAGAAAUACUUUCUGCUAAACGAAUGAGUCGGUUUGUGAUAAAGAAAGAGACUUUGGUCCCUGGGUUCACACCUCUCACCUUUCCACAAGAUUAUUUUCACCGCUCACUCCCAACUUAAGCUCCUGGUCUCACCUCUACUUUACCUCCUUAAGCAGGAACAGGUUGUCAGGUUCUGGUUUCACACGGAAGCGAGGGAACGCUUUUAUUUAUUUUACGUAUCAUUUAGAUCUGGGUUACUUCAAGAAUGCUUAAGGCCUCCAGUGGAAAAGCAUGAAAACUUAGCAUCCACUUCAACUGGGUGUUGGGUGUCAGAGUCUGUGCCAUUUGAAGCUGUGCCAAUCUGAUACUCAAGGUGCACAAAUACAGCCAAUCAAAGAGGAUUCUUUAAAGGAGAUAAGUUUCUAGGAUGGCCCGAGUUGCAUCCUGAGCUAUACUAUGUCCUUCUCUGACCCCUGUCCCCAAGACAAGAUUUGGACAGCCUCUGGUUGAGUUACCACCUUUCACAGCUCAGAGAUCUGUGUGAUAUUGCAAGAGUCAUUUACCUUUCCAGGUAUCCACCAGACCGAUCUCAGAGUAGAACCCAAGUUGCUCACAACUCCCCUGCAUCACCAAGACUGGAGCCUAGCUGCCAGAGUCUUCUCUUUACUUGUCUGACUGGACAAAUUACAGUUUUUCCAGUCCCAGUUCCAGCCAGAGCAUCUGUGAUAUAAUACAGUGGACCAUACCCCUGUGGCCUUCUCUGAGGGUUCUGGAGCUCCAUAUUCUGGCUUCUCUGAAUGACCCCAGCACUUCCUCUCUGUUCCUCUUAUUGACGCACAUUCGGAGCUGGGGAGCACUUAAGUAGCCUGAUGUCCAGCAGAUCAGACUUCAAGUCCUGCCGUACUGGCCGUGUGACCUUGGGCCAGUUGAAACCUCUCAAUCUCUGGUUCUAUGAAAUUGCCGUCAUAACAGUACUUCUCUGUUUUCCUAAGGAUUUAAUGAGAUAACAUACCCAAGGGGCUGGUACUUAGUAAGCCCUUAACACAUGCCAGCAGUUAUUCUUACUGUAUUUACCAACUAUAAUAAUGUUUUGUAUUAUUCGCCAACUGUUGCCUCUAAUGAAAUCUUGAGUCCCAAAUUAGCUAUUUCUGUGAGGGUCAAGACAGCUUGUAUAGUCUUUUUAUCUAUCUCCCACCAUACCUAGGGUGAUGCCAGGGGUUGGGGGCAGUACUGACAACAACUGAGUAAGUGAUUAUAGGUGACUUGCUAUAUGACUUGCUAUGCCUCUCCGUAUACCAUAUGUAUAUACAUAUACCAUUGUAUUAGUCCAUUCUCACACUUCUAUAAAAAAUACCUGAGACUGGGUAAUUCACAAAGAAAAGAGGUUUAAUUGGCUCAUGGUUCCACAAGCUAUACAGGAAGCACAGUGGCUUCUGCUUCUGGGGAGGCCUCAGGAAGCUUCCAGUCAUGGCAGAAGGCAAAGAAGAAGCAGGCACAUCUCAUUACCAUGAGAUUUGGGUGGGGACACAGGUCGAAACCGUAUGAACUGUAUACAUACACAUACACAUAUACACGCACACAUAUACAUGCACAUAUACCUUACACUCAUGCUGCGAACAGGGGAUCUGACCUUAAUUAUUCUCAUAUCGCCAUGUUCUUUCCCCAGAACUUUCUUUGGAGUCACACUUUCCACAUGCAGAUGAAUAUUUAUAUGUAUGACCGACUUAUCUUACAAUUUUGUUUUCUUUAAGAAAACAUUUGCUUCUUCUCAGUAAGCCCAGGUUAAACCCUGUUGAGCUGUUAGUUGAUCCCUUUCUUUCUGAAAGAGGACAAAACAUCAAGGCAUUAGUUCACAGAUUACAGGGAUCUUCUUUAAAUCCUCCUAACUAGUUCAGUUUCAGUGUAUUUGCUACUGUGGAAAAGAUGGCAUCAUUCCUGAAGGGAACACAGAGAAUCGGGUGGCACGAAGACAAAAGCCCUCUGGAUUGCUGCAAGAAGUGUCCUCAGGUAACCGGGGCUCCUUUGUGAGAAAACGAGAAUGUCCUGGCUGCUGAAAACAACAGAAGGUGGCAUGGUUCAUGUCGGGCAAUUAGGUGACUUCAGCAGGUGCCGCAGGAAAGUUCCCCUGCUCUUGCUGGUCUGUGUAGGGCUUCCCUCUAACCUGCCUGUCCGGGGACUGGGAGAAGGGCUCCUGGGAGGAGGGUGAGGGGCCAUGAUGCCUGGACCUUGACCUCCUGUUGAUACCUUGUUCAGGCUGGAGCUAAGCCACAGACCCCACAGCCUUUAAGACCAAAUCCCUGCAGCAGAGCGGCUGGGACCCAUUACAUGCUUUUCAUAUCCUUUUGUAGGAGGCUGGGUGAGGGUGAGGGGACAGGAUGGAGAGCUCGUGACAACACCUCUUCUCUUUGGCCUCUUCAACACCACAGGCCACUAAGAGAUGCAAGAGACCAGGACCCAGAAUCCCGAGAUACAAAUCAAACACCCAAGAGUUCCCAGUGUCUGUUUUCUUCUGCCUAACCAUCGCUGGGGUCUCAGAGACAAAUCGGCUCCCUAGGACUCUUAUCCACCCACACUCUCCAGGAUUUUAGCUAUUACUUUUUAUUGACCUCUUGUGGUAGGUAGAAUGUUAUAUCACAAUUUGAGAUGUGCAAAAAGUAGAGGUUUUUAAACUUCAUUUUGCUAUUUAAUUUCUAUUUUGAGCCCCCCUUUAGCCAAAUGAUGAAAAUGUAGUCAGAUCAGGAUCCUCUUCUCUUUCUUCAGGGUCACUCACAUCUAUGCCCCAGCGGGUAGAUAGUAUUGAAAUGUAGAGGGUGUGCGGGGAGGAGGAGAGCAGGGUCAUCUGAACCUGGGUGUCAUCUUGGCUCUGUCCUGGCGGCUGCAGAGAGGCCCUUCAUCAUUCAGCUCUCUGCCGGGAUGCUUUUGUUUCUGACUUCUUCUUUGGGUUCUGUCUGCCUCUCUCCUUUCUCUUUCUCUCUGCUAUGCCUGCACCCUCUCGGGAACAGAAAACAUAUCACUGGCCCAGCAUACCCUCAGUGGGAGAGCUUCUGAGAGGCUGCCUCAAGCCCGCCCCCC